AGGAAGGAGAAGUCGUAACAAGGUUUCCGUAGGUGAACCUGCGGAAGGAUCAUUGUCGAGACCGAAAAAUAUAUAUCGAGCGAUUCGAACAACCUGUGAAAUGAACGAACUACCGUCUCGGUCGUCGCCCCCGACUCUCCUUUGAGGUGAAGGGGCACGACGGAGGAUGGAUGAACCACAAACUGGCGCAGCAUCGCGCCAAGAAAAGAUUGAAAUGCGCGAGCCCUGUGUCGGGCUCGGUGACGUGGAGUGGUGGUGCGCUCCAAGUGGAUAUACACGACUCUCGGCAAUGGAUAUCUCGGCUCUUGCAUCGAUGAAGAGCGCAGCGAAAUGCGAUACGUGGUGCGAAUUGCAGAAUCCCGUGAACCAUCGAGUCUUUGAACGCAAGUCGCGUCUGAGGCCAGCCGGCCAAGGGCACGUCUGCCUGGGCGUCAGGCGUUGCGUCGCUCCGUGCUAGCUGUCCCGCCAAUGGGCGUGUCGGGCGAGCCUCGGAUGUGCAGAGUGGCACGUCGUGCCCGUUGGUGCGGCGAGCUGAAGAGCAGGUUUCGUCUCAAUGGCCGCGAACAAUAAAGGGUGGGUGUAAGAUGUGAGCGCAACCUGUGUUGUCUCGUGUCUGCCCGAGAGACGAAUUGUGCCUUUGAUGUGAUCCCCGACCAUGCGCCGCUCGGCAUGAGGCGGCUUGGGAUGCGACCCCAGGAUGGGCGAGGCCACCCGCCGAGUUUAAGCAUAUCAAUA
rnacentral:rRNA from 1 species